rnacentral:rRNA from 1 species
GAGUCCUACGGGGCGCAGCAGUGAGGAAUAUUGGUCAAUGGCCGAGAGGCUGAACCAGCCAAGUCGCGUGAGGGAAGACGGCCCUACGGGUUGUAAACCUCUUUUGUCGGGGAGCAAAGCGAACCACGCGUGGUUCAUUGAGAGUACCCGAAGAAAAAGCAUCGGCUAACUCCGUGCCAGCAGCCGCGGUAAUACGGAGGAUGCGAGCGUUAUCCGGAUUUAUUGGGUUUAAAGGGUGCGCAGGCGGAGGUGCAAGGCAGCGGUCAAAUUGCG